rnacentral:rRNA from 1 species
UACGUAGGGACCAAGCGUUGUUCGGAUUUACUGGGCGUAAAGGGCGCGUAGGCGGCAAUUCAAGUCAUCUGUGAAAUCUCCGGGCUUAACCCGGAACGGUCAGAUGAUACUGCUUUGCUAGAGUGCGGAAGGGCAAUCGGAAUUCUUGGUGUAGCGGUGAAAUGCGUAGAUAUCAAGAGGAACACCUGAGGUGAAGACGGGUUGCUGGGCCGACACUGACGCUGAUAGCGCGAAAGCCAGGGGAGCAAACGGG